UGCGAACCGUUAAUAGGUACUGAACGCUGGUUGAAUGCUUAAUGCACCGUGCUUCUAGGAUUAAAUUGACCAAUCAUUUCCCGCGCGGCAAGGAGCGGCCAAUUACAGCGCUCGUCCGACUAUAUUAAGCCAAUCAAGAACAGUUUAUCGCUCAGUCGUCAGUCUGCAGUUGUGAUGCAUGUGUCGUGCGCGUGUUUUUUUACGCCUCUUCCCAAACAAUUCUUAAUUCGUGAAACAAACGAAUCGCGUGAGAAAAAGAUGAACGUUUGUCAUGAAUUACUAGUUCGCCAUUCUUUAACAAUCGUUCAGUGAUUUAGAUCGCGAUACUUCCAUUUAUCCUUUUUGGCGCGACGGAUCUUUGCAAAUGUUUGAAAUCGCCAAACCAAACGAGGUCGAAGUCUCAUUGUCAGUUUGUUCGAUCGAAUUUGGAAUUUUUCGUUAUUUAUAGUUAUUCGACGAGCGUGCGGGAAGAAAACUGUGUACAAAACGCAAGAGAAGCACGUGACAAAGCUUGAAACGAUAUAAAUUUUAUUGUACACGUUCCAUUUAUGAUAAAGCUUAUUUAUUUCUUGUGACGGUUCGUAUUUCGAUCUUUCGAGAUCGUUUCUUGUGAUUACCGUGCAUUUCUCUCCCCGUCGACUUUUCAUUGAUCGAUUGAAUUUGAGAUAGUUCGAUACCCUUCUCCGAAUCCGUUCGAAACGGCAGUGUAGUGUUACCGAAAGAUUUCGGCAAUAUGAGAUUAGAAGAUUCUAACGAACAUCGGAUCAUUCCGAAGAAUUGACCACGCCAGGUUGCAUGAAUAAGUGCAAAAGAACGCAUCAAUGAACACUAGUGUCAAAUAGAAGUUAAGAGGUCAUGAGAUUUCCUCCAAUUGUUCAGUCAAGUUAAACACGAUUUCUUUGAACAUCGCGUAGUCAACUUUACAUGGAAUAUCAUUGUAUCUCGUAAAAGCUUUCGAGUAACAUCGAUCACGUGCUUCACGCCGUAGGAAAUUGAUUGUCCAACGUAAUGAGGGCCCGAUUGUUUUAGAUAUAUAUGUACAUAAGAAUAACAUUAUUCUUAUUUUCCUCACAAAUACAUUCACGAUCUCACGCAAACAAGAUUAACUCCUAACUGCUAAAACCACAUCCGAUAAGUAUUCCUCUAUUAAUAUAUGGUUUUACGGGAAACGCUUUCUAAUCUAAUAAAAAUUCAUCUACAUAGUUGACCGAUCGGCUUAUCUUCUUUCGAUUGUCCAAUAAAACCUGGAAAUCCUAACAGAUGCGCGGUCUCCUUAGGUCUUUUCUCUCUCUUUCUCUCUCUCUCUCUCUCUCUCUCUCUUUAUCCGCGAAUUGGAUAAACUUCUUCGGAACAUAUUUUUCGCGCUCGGCUUACAACAUCCGAGAAACGAGAUCACAUGUGACCACACGCAUAAUAACGUCACAAAGUAUCGUUUCAACCUGACACCCGGUGAAACCUCGAGAAUAGAAGUCUCGAGAAGAAGUGAGGAGAAAAAGAAGUCCGAUGCGAUAUGCCCCGCGUAACAAUCGCGGAAACGAUAAAAGAGACGAAACGUUCUGCGAAAACAAGCGAUUCUCUCGUAUUGCCGAGUGUGUGUUAGAGGCACGACGACUUUGGUGUCUAACAGAUUGGGAGGAAACGUAAUUGGAGACAUUUUGUUAUUCUGAAAAUGUAAUGGCACGCAGCGUGCGUGGUUAGGCUUUAUCAUCGCGACUUCUUGACCCCUCUCGAACGAUAGUAUAGAACACGAGAACCGGCAGCCUCGAAGAAAAUUAUCGAAUGCCUAGAAUCCAAAUAUCAAGACUUUAAAACAUAAGAGGUUCCAUUAUAGGGAUUUAAUAAAAUAUUUCUUCGCUUCGUUUACAUUGUCAUAGUUUCUUUGUCUCGUUUAAAAGUGACGUAACUUCUAUGCAUCGAAAGUUGUAGCAGCACAAGCUACUUUACGAAAAAUCGUAAAGUAUCUCGAUCUUAAUUCGAAACGCGCCGCUCUUAAAAUAGAACAUUUUUGGUCGCAGAGCCGAGACAGAAGUCACGGUUUCCGAGACUCCGCGAAUUUUUAUAAAGAAUCGUCUGCGUUUCUUGAGUAAUAGUCCAUAUUUUUUCAAGUAUCGUUUCUAAGACGAAGAAGGUAUCGAGUUUUUGCCACUUGAAGAGCAUUUCCCCUGUUCGUUUCUUAGAAUUUCUUCUAUGUUCAUCCACCCACAAUUUGUGCAUCGUAGCCUAAUAAGUUGACGAGUUAUUUCACGAAUACCCAGAGGGAGCCGACAUUAACAGAAAUUAGCGUUAAUUGGUGAUAUUCUCCUUUCCUCUUCGCUCCUCCCGUUUUUCUGUUAUCCCCUCCAUCCCAGUCGAUCUCGCGAUCUCUUUCCCUUUUCUAUGAAUCUCACACCAUUUCUGCAUAGUUUUAUUUAUGUUUUAUAAGUUUUUGUUCGUCUGCCUUUUCUCUUGUUCUAACCAUCUUCUUUUCUUGUAGCAUACUUUCUCAUUUGGCGCGUCUGAGCCGACGAAUAUCGAAAAAACAAUCCACUGAAACUACGCACGUUGCGUGUGCAACAUGCGUUCGCGUCCAGCUGAAUCUGCAACGGCCGCAACAUCGAAAUAAUCCUCUUUGGCUUGUGGCCACUUUACAUUUUUAACAGUCUGGAACAAACGUCCUGCAUGUUCUUUUCGUUCUGCUUUUUCAAGUACUAAACUACUCGAAGAAAGACCGAUCAUUGUUCGAAUCGUUUUUCUAAGCUUCGAUAGUAUAUGAAUAUCUGCUCCAAGUUCCACAGAAGUUCCAUAGAAAAAAUCGUUCACCAACCUCGAAUCAUACCAUGGAGGCGAACGAUGAAUACGGUGUUUGAUGAAACGAGAAGCGUUAAGCAGGGUCGCGGGGCAGAGAAAUCAAAGAUUCGAUUGUAGACUCCCUCUCUCUAUCGUGCGUACACACAUUUCCGUGCGCGAUAUUGCUUCCAAUCCUCAAGUUCUUUGCUUCGUUUUCUUUCCGAUCUCAUUCUCGAUUUUUUUUUUUACAUAGAAACAGAAUUUUAUUAUACCUUGCGUAUUUUUUUUGCAAUUUCCAAGGUCUAUAAUGAUCUACUUUUUUUUUAUUUUGUAGCAUAAGUUAUAUCUUAUACAUUUUGAAGAAAGAUAUAUCUUACAUAAGAAUGUCCAAUGUCCAGAGUGAUCCGCCUAUCUUUCUAUUUUGCAGUAUAAUUUAUAUGAAAAGAUUAGUAAAAUCUAAUUUACUCCACGAUGUUUCAAUCGUAACAAGGACACGUUAAUUGAAACUGUCAAUAGUGCGCUUGUGCAGUUCUAGGAUAUUCUUGGAAGCGUUUUUGGUAAUAAGAUAAAGAUAGAGUAGAAUAAAUUGUAUAUGGAAAGCAUAAAAAUUUUCGAGAUAGAAACAACAGAUCUUAAUGCGGAGUCGACGUUACGACGCGAAACUCGAAAUUUUUUCGGAGACGAACAGAAGAAGAAAGAACAAAGAGGCUGAGAUAGUGGGCGACUUUAAUGACUACUCGAGGUCGCUUCAAUGAGUACCACUGUGUGUCAUCGCAUCAUUAUAGUAUAUACGAUAUAUAGUGUACGGUAUCACAUCCGGACUAAUAAUUAUAACGUAUACCUUAUUACUAUUGUACUGCUUUGUAAUGAUUUUAUCACUAUCGGUUUCAUUCGUAUAACUAUACAUUAUAUACUUUGAGAUUUUUUCUUUCCCUUUUUCAAAUUAAAUUUUUUGGAAUAAAUAUAAUACUAAGUAGAUAUAAUAAUAAAAUAGAUAUUUAUAUCUGAAGCAAGAAAAAGCUUAAUAACUAGAUUGAAUAAGUAGAUAUAGAAAAUGUUGCAAACAAGGAUGUAUUUGUUUGUAAGAUGUAUUUCAUAAAUAGGCUAAUUCAAUUGACUUAAGAUUUCUAUCCGUUUCGUAAAAUGAUUACAGUGUGCACGUAGUGAAUGUGUCAUGCAAUAUCUAUGAGCUACCGUAUUCUUCUGCCGAUUAUCUAAUCUUGCGUUAAAUUAUAAGGAAACGUGGGCACGUUAUAUUAAGACCUGCUUCGGCCUGCUUAAUUGUCUGUUAAUCGACGAAUUCAAUUUUCUUUUAAUCGCCUAAUUAUACGUUAACCUAAGGUUUCCUUUAAAACAAUUUGAAAUCAAAUAAAUUAAAUGAUUAAUUUUAUAUGAUAAUUUAUAGGGAUCAUCAUUGCUUCAUCAAGAGGAUCGUAUAACUAUCGUAACAAUGGAAGGACUACGAUACAUCGGAAGUUAAUCCUGUCUUGUUCAUAAGUACUAGUGCCGCAGGAGUGACUAGGUUGGGUUAGAAAUUACCAUAUCUCCUGCUGCUCAAGUGCUUAUCAAUGGGUCCGGACUCACAUCUAUCUUUCGAAUCAUGCAUUGAAUGACUUUAUUUAAAGUGAAAUUUCGCAGGCGAUAUCUAAAUGUAUAUAAAGCAGCUAUUUGCGUAUACAAGUGUAAUAAUACCGCAGUUUCUAUUUUAUAUUUGUAAUAAUUUUAUGUAAAUAUAUUUAAAAAUUCUAAAAUACUAUAUAAAAAUGUAUUUAACAAAUAAUAAAAUUUCGUUAUUGAAAAUAAAAAAAAAAAAAAAAUUCACUUGGAGGAGCUGGGAUUUGAACCCAGGACUUUCAGCAUGCGAAGCAGACACUCUACCACUGAGUUACACCCCCGGUUAUGUAUUAGAUAUUUUACAUAAGCUAAAUGGUGUGACAUUAUUAUUAUUUAAAUGAGAAAAAUUCUAUUACUUCUAAUAUUUAUUACAAAGUAAGUUGUACAUUCUGUGUUUCUAUAAUUCUUAAUAUUUUAUCCUCUUAUUAUUAAGAUUUGAAAUGUCGAAUACUAUUUAAUAAAAAGUUAUUUACUUUUAUACUCAUUCUGUAUUAAAAAUAUAGCAAAUAAAACGCAUUGUUUAUUAGUUUUGAUUAUGUAAUCAAGAUAAAGUUAAAUAAACGUUCCAAUUUAUGUAUUUAUUUAACUAAGCAUCAAUAAAUAAAUAUUUUAAUAAUA